AGGAAGAGGCUGAUUCGAAA
rnacentral:snRNA from 1 species